UGCCUAAACCAAGCGAUUGGCAUGGCAUUAAAUCCUAGAUGGAAGUAAGCUCUUCGUCAGAGCACCAUCUAGGUUAUCAACCGAAAGGUUGGUAGGAGUCGCAAGGCUUC
rnacentral:sRNA from 12 species